UAGGAAAGCUAAAUUAAUAUCUUCAGAUAUCUGACUUUUGCGAUACAUUUUACUGUCAACUGCAACAAAGGAAAUUAUUAUGAUCAAAUUAGGUAUCAUUGGGAACAAUCAUGUUAUUUAUCGGUCGUCACACAUAACUUUGAUCAAUCCAUUAUGUUCACAGCAACCUUGGUUUGCAGUUCCCAAGGAAGAUACCGCAUGGAGGAUGUCAUUCCAUUUACAAGAAAGAUAUAUCCUUAAGGACUUGAAAUAUUUGAAAUACACAUUGAGACUGUUGAAGAAAGUACGAGAUGAAUUGCAGAUAACGAAAGUGGCCAGUUACUACAUAAAAACUUUGUUUCUGUGGGAAGUGGAAUAUAACAGAGACUAUCGGGCUGUAUGGUCAGCUACUGGACGAGGUCGUCUUUUUAUGCAUAUGCUUGUACGCUUUAGAGAAGCUCUACGAGAAAGGAGAAUUCCGUUUUUUUGGGAAAGAGAAAUGAAUUUGAUUGGUCACCUGAAAGAAGCUUAUAUCCAAAAUAGUUGUGACAGACUUAACAAUUUUAUCAAGCAAAUAGACAAACAUGUUGAUGAUAAAAAUGCGUAUGAACUAGAAGUCUAUAUUUGUAAGUAUACAUUGUGUAUUCAAACAC